UCCUUCAAAAUUGAUGACGACACAUCGAAUUGAAAAAACUCCAAGCAUCAUAUAGAAGGAAAUUAUACAAUUAAGUCUCUAAAAAUAAUAUACAACACAUGAAAGAAGUGAUGGACUUUUUGUGACAAGAUCAACGUAUUUCUGAAAAUGCUGCCCAUCAUUGGGAGAAAUCUUUUGAUUCAGUGCCACAUUGAUGAAAAGAUAUUCAAAAAAUGUAGAGAAUGAUAUUGUGACCCUAAAAGUUCCAGUCUUGAGGGAAUUGUAAUAUUCUUCAAAAAUCAAGGGGGACUUCAUGUACCAGCAUAUGGAAUUAUAACGAUAUGUCAAUCAGGAAUUUGAUGAUUUCAACUAAAAAUAGAGUUCCAAGAGAUGAAAAUUUUCUCGAUGCAUUUGCAACAAUUCAGUCCCAAACAUUUUAUGAUCGAGUUGAUGAUUUGUUCCCUUCCUUGAAAGAACAUUUUUUAUAUUCUUCAGUAAUUAGCAGAUAUCAUGGCUUUCUUUUAGUGAAAAAUAUUGCCAGACCUCAUUUUAAAAUUAGAAUAUUCAAUCUGUAAAAAGUUUAUACUGAAAAAUUCAAGGUUCUGCAAUUAGAAGGCUUCAUCACUUGAUCGUAUGCAGCAAUCGAUACUGGAGAUAAAAUAUUGUAUAAAUAAAAUGAAUAGAAAAAUGUUUUUUUUUAUAUAUUUAAUGCCAGUAGCUACUGAAAAAUGUAUCGACUUGUUAGCUUUCAUCAUAUCAUGUCUUACUUCCAAUAAAAAAUAUCAGAUCAAA